ACUUUGGGUUGGGUUGGCUUGGUUCUCACACUAACAAGGAUAUUCUUAAACACUCGUUAAAAGCACGUCGUCAUAUCAUUCAAAUCACAACCAUGAGAGACUGACAAACGUUGGUUAUUUGUAUUAUUUAGUAUAAGUGUGUAGUUUGUAUGUACUACUAUUAAUACCACUGGAUUGUUUCUUCAUACCGGCGUUUGGUAUAAUAACUUAUACCAUGCAGUAGGUAAUUAAAAAAUAUGACGAUACAUCCAUUUCUGAGAGCAGAGUUGAUAAGUUCCUGGACAAAAGAGCUUUAUGUAUGUCUUAUACCAGGCCUCAUCGACCUUCAAGUCUUUCAAAAUGCCAUUUUCGAUGAUUUUGCAUAGAUUAGGUCAAAAAAAUAUAUCUAACAGCUUUAGAAGAGGCAAACCUAUAUUUUAGAUUAUAACCGAAAAAACUAAGUUAUUGCUCCAGAAUAAUAUAUUUCUUUAGACAUUCCGAAAAUUGGUUCCGAUUGGCUUCAAGAGCCCAGUUUCAUCAUGGCCAGGAAAUGAAGACUACAUGAAAGCAAAAGAUGAUAUACAUAAUAUUCGGUUAUUGUAGAGAGAGGAAUAAAAAGGAUGACUGGCUAUGAGAACAUAAUAAAUAAAAAUCCAAGGCAGAGAGUAUCUCCUUCAAGGCGUAGAAUAUAAUAAAGAACGAUUUGAUUGUUUGGAAAAGAAUGUCUUCAAUAAAUAAAUCUAUAAUUAAAAAAAAUCA
rnacentral:lncRNA from 1 species